AUGGAGCAAGCAUACCCAUGUGGCAAGGCCCAGAACCGAGCAAAGGGCCAGAGGGUUGGCAACUGUUGUUUGUGAUGUUCAGUGGCCCUGAAUCUCCUGGUGAUGUGGUGCCAACAAAGGUCGCUCCUAUUGCCAUUCCUGGCUCAUACGUGGCUGGGUCUGUCCCUGGCAGGGCCGUUGAGCCAGGGUUAGGCUCUUCCAGGCUGUUUCUCAUUGUCAGGGAGCAUGCAGUGCUACUGCCUUCCCAGGGGUGCUGGGGUGGCUGCAAGGGGUUAAUGGCUCUGCUGGAGCUGAACCCACUUCAGUUCCCUGGGCUGUGCCAGAGACAUGAUGGCUUCAUCGCUUGGUGGCAGAGUCUCUUUGGCACCAGGGGAAAGGUUUACUGGUAAAUAAACAUCAAGGAGUGGGUAAGAAGGAUGGAUGUGUUGGAAGAUCAUGGCUGUAGCUGGAUGCAGGCUGGGACGCAUCCCUGGGUUUAUACACUGGAGUUUUGCCUGUGCACGUGCAACACUUAAACUCGUGUAAAUCUUUACCAGGUACCAGUGUCCCUCAAGAACACUUUGCCCUCGCUAUUUGCAGUGCAGUGGAAACACACUGCCCUCUGUCCGUCCAGCAAACCCUGCCGAGAUCCUGAAGCUUCUUCUCCAAAUCUGGAAGAGACAUGCAAUGAUCCUUAUGUAUGUUGUAUCCUAUCCUGAAGAAUUUGCUCCUAGGAUGGAGCAAAUGCUUCAGUUUUGCUGAUGUUACAUAGUAUUUUUGGACAUUGAGCCUGGCAAGAUCCUAAGCCAAAUGAUUCCUAGUGGGGAUGCCCAGACCUUCACUGCAAGCAGAAUUAGGGUCCCUGUGUGCAAUUAAAUGAGAUGUGCUCUUAGUUUUUGGUGACCCUCUAAACCCACACAAGAGAUUGUGUGAGAACUGGUGCCAGUCUGGCCACAGCAGCCAGAGUCUCCACUGCCCGUGACCCCUCUCAGCCACAGCCCUGCAGCCCCAGGGCAUGUCAGCUUCAGUCUCCAAAAGCCAGUAUUUGUAUCUGGUUAGUUCUGCUGUUGCUCAGAGAACUGACUGAAGUAGGGACUGGUGGAAAACAGCUAUCCUGCAGCUCCACAACACAAGACAUCACUUGGGCAGAAGAGCAUUAGCUGCUUUGCUGAAAUGGAAGGAUAGAAGCAUGUGUAGUAUUGUGGCGUGGAGAGCAAAGCAAAAACAUGUUUCAAAUGCACCCAUGCUUGCAUGCAGAAAUGUUCCCUCAAGUCCAACAACAACCAUUAAAAUUGUGGUUCUUAAGUUGACAAAGCAAAACCUUGGUAGGGGACUUUGUGUGGUAGCAUGUGAGCUGCUGUGUUAAAGGUGAGGCUGGAUGCUGCAGGCUGCCUGGUGGUGCACUGCUUUGCUAGUAAAGAAGACUCACAGGUAAACAUGUUUUCUCCCUCCUCAAUUCUUUUUAGUUCUUUCUCACCCAUAUUUAAACCUCCCAGUGAACCAGAUGUAAUGCUUUACUAGGUCCAAUGUGAAAGUAAGUAGCUGCUCUGGGCUCUUUGACUCAGCAGGCAGAGGAGCCAGGAGCUGGUGGGAGCUGUCUCCUUGCAGCAUGUUGGCUGCUGCAGCCCAGUGGUCAGUGGCUUGUUCCUGCUGCAAAUGGCAAGCUGAAAUCUGCUGUCAUCUGAACAUUCCCUCCAGUGUUACUGGGAUGCUGCCUAGUGUAUGGAGCAGCCCUACAGGCACAGUGCCACCCUGCUGGAGUUGGCACAUCAGUAUGAGAAUACCCUACUCACUCAGCUUCUUGUGCCUCCCUCAGCAGUAUCUGAGCUUCCUCCCAUUUUCUGUUUCUCUUAAGUGCAUCCAGCUUGUACUUCUCA